CGGCUCCGAUGGCCUAGUGAUUAGAGCGUUCGCCUCGAAUGCGGGAGGUGGCGGGUUCUAUCCCGCUCGGCCGC